rnacentral:rRNA from 1 species
GACGAACGCUGGCGGCGUGCUUAACACAUGCAAGUCGUACGGUAAGGCCCUUUCGGGGGUACACGAGUGGCGCACGGGUGAGUAACACGUGAGUAACCUGCCCACAACUUUGGGAUAACGCUAGGAAACUGGUGCUAAUACUGGAUAUGUGCUCCUGCUGCAUGGUGGGGGUUGGAAAGCUCCGGCGGUUGUGGAUGGACUCGCGGCCUAUCAGCUUGUUGGUGGGGUAGUGGCCUACCAAGGCGGCGACGGGUAGCCGGCCUGAGAGGGUGACCGGCCACAUUGGGACUGAGAUACGGCCCAGACUCCUACGGGAGGCAGCAGUGGGGAAUAUUGCACAAUGGGCGCAAGCCUGAUGCAGCAACGCCGCGUGCGGGAUGACGGCCUUCGGGUUGUAAACCGCGUUCAGCAGGGACGAAGCUUUUUGUGACGGUACCUGCAGAAGAAGCACCGGCUAACUACGUG